rnacentral:rRNA from 1 species
ACUCAAAUGAAUUGACGGGGGCCCGCACAAGCGGUGGAGCAUGUGGUUUAAUUCGACGCAACGCGAAGAACCUUACCUGGGCUUGAACUACCGGAAGUAAGAUCUUGGAAACAGGAGAUGACUCGUAAAAUCGAGAUCCGGCAGAGGUGCUGCAUGGUUGUCGUCAGCUCGUGUCGUGAGAUGUUGGGUUAAGUCCCGCAACGAGCGCAACCCCUAUCCCAUGUUGCCUAGUACCCGCAAGGGUACCGCACUCUUGGGAAACUGCCUCGGAUAACGGGGAGGAAGGUGGGGAUGACGUCAAAUCCUCAUGGCCUUUAUGUCCAGGGCUACACACGUGCUACAAUGGUCGGGUACAGCGGGAUGCAAAUCCGCAAGGAGGAGCCAAUCCCUGAAAACCGGCCUCAGUUCAGAUUGUGGGCUGCAAUUCGCCCACAUGAAGGCGGAAUCGCUAGUAAUCGCAGAUCAGCAGGCUGCGGUGAAUACGUUCCCGGGCCUUGUACACACCGCCCGU